GCUGGGCGUGGUGGCGCACACCUGUAAUCCCAGCACUUGGGAGGCUGAGGCAGGAGGAUUGCUGUGAGUUCGAGACCAUCCUGGGGCUACAUAGUGAGUUCCAGGUUAAUCUCAACUAUAUACUGAGACCCUGUCUCAAAAAAACAAAAAACAAAAAAUAAACAAACAACAAAAAAAAGACUGACCUGGAACUUACUUUGUAGCCCAGGUUGAUCUCGAACUCACAGCGAUCCUCCUGCCUCAG
rnacentral:SRP_RNA from 1 species